AAAAGAUCUUUAAGAGAUACGAUCGCUUUAGUGAGAAGGAUCGAGCUAGCUUGUUCUGAGAGAAGGGGUGGUAGGGUUCGUCGGCUCGCGAGCGUACGUACGUGCGUAAAAGACACGCGGCAUAUGUCGACGUAUGAGUGUCACAGUCUCCUCCGUCCACGAAUCUCACGCGUGUCUACAAAAUAUGUCAAUUUUAAAGCCAACGAGGAAAAGAUGAUUCAGGCCCAUUCCCAAUUCACAUUCUUUCUUUCUCCUCAUCAUUACACACACAUCACACUUAUGUUUUGACUUUCUAUACUUCUUUUCUUGUUUUAUUCGAUCAGUUUGUAUUCCUUUCAGCAUCGAAUAUACUGUUACAUUUUAAAGA